rnacentral:rRNA from 1 species
CGGGUGAGUAACACGUGGGUAACCUGCCUGUAAGACUGGGAUAACUCCGGGAAACCGGGGCUAAUACCGGAUGCUUGAUUGAACCGCAUGGUUCAAUUAUAAAAGGUGGCUUUUAGCUACCACUUACAGAUGGACCCGCGGCGCAUUAGCUAGUUGGUGAGGUAACGGCUCACCAAGGCAACGAUGCGUAGCCGACCUGAGAGGGUGAUCGGCCACACUGGGACUGAGACACGGCCCAGACUCCUACGGGAGGCAGCAGUAGGGAAUCUUCCGCAAUGGACGAAAGUCUGACGGAGCAACGCCGCGUGAGUGAUGAAGGUUUUCGGAUCGUAAAACUCUGUUGUUAGGGAAGAACAAGUACCGUUCGAAUAGGGCGGUACCUUGACGGUACCUAACCAGAAAGCCACGGCUAACUACGUGCCAGCAGCCGCGGUAAUACGUAGGUGGCAAGCGUUGUCCGGAAUUAUUGGGCGUAAAGCGCGCGCAGGCGGUUUCUUAAGUCUGAUGUGAAAGCCCCCGGCUCAACCGGGGAGGGUCAUUGGAAACUGGGGAACUUGAGUGCAGAAGAGGAGAGUGGAAUUCCACGUGUAGCGGUGAAAUGCGUAGAGAUGUGGAGGAACACCAGUGGCGAAGGCGACUCUCUGGUCUGUAACUGACGCUGAGGCGCGAAAGCGUGGGGAGCGAACAGGAUUAGAUACCCUGGUAGUCCACGCCGUAAACGAUGAGUGCUAAGUGUUAGAGGGUUUCCGCCCUUUAGUGCUGCAGCAAACGCAUUAAGCACUCCGCCUGGGGAGUACGGUCGCAAGACUGAAACUCAAAGGAAUUGACGGGGGCCCGCACAAGCGGUGGAGCAUGUGGUUUAAUUCGAAGCAACGCGAAGAACCUUACCAGGUCUUGACAUCCUCUGACAACCCUAGAGAUAGGGCUUCCCCUUCGGGGGCAGAGUGACAGGUGGUGCAUGGUUGUCGUCAGCUCGUGUCGUGAGAUGUUGGGUUAAGUCCCGCAACGAGCGCAACCCUUGAUCUUAGUUGCCAGCAUUCAGUUGGGCACUCUAAGGUGACUGCCGGUGACAAACCGGAGGAAGGUGGGGAUGACGUCAAAUCAUCAUGCCCCUUAUGACCUGGGCUACACACGUGCUACAAUGGGCAGAACAAAGGGCAGCGAAGCCGCGAGGCUAAGCCAAUCCCACAAAUCUGUUCUCAGUUCGGAUCGCAGUCUGCAACUCGACUGCGUGAAGCUGGAAUCGCUAGUAAUCGC